GCCGAAGUAGCUCAGGUGGUAGAGCAACUGAUUCGUAAUCAGUGGGUCGGGGGUUCAAGUCCUCUCUUCGGCA
rnacentral:tRNA from 1 species